AUACGUAGGUGGCAAGCGUUGUCCGGAAUUAUUGGGCGUAAAGCGCAUGUAGGCGGUAAUUUAAGUCUGUCGUGAAACUGCGGGGCUCAGCCCCGUAUGGCGAUGGAAACUGGGUUACUUGAGUGCAGGAGAGGAAAGGGGAACUCCCAGUGUAGCGGUGAAAUGCGUAGAUAUUGGGAAGAACACCGGUGGCGAAGGCGCCUUUCUGGUCUGUGUCUGACGCUGAGAUGCGAAAGCCUGGAUAGCUAACGUGAUUGGAUACCCCGUUAGUCCUGGCCGUAAACGAUGGUUACUAAGUUUGGUAGGUAUCGACCCCUGCCGUGCCUGAGUUAACACAAUUAGGCCCCCGCCUGGGGAGUCCGGCCGCAACGCUUAUGCUCAAACGAAUUGACGGGG
rnacentral:rRNA from 1 species